rnacentral:rRNA from 1 species
UACGGAGGAUCCAAGCGUUAUCCGGAAUCAUUGGGUUUAAAGGGUCCGUAGGCGGCUUUAUAAGUCAGUGGUGAAAUCUCCCCGCUCAACGGGGAAACGGCCAUUGAUACUGUAAGGCUUGAAUUAUUAGGAAGUAACUAGAAUAUGUAGUGUAGCGGUGAAAUGCUUAGAGAUUACAUGGAAUACCAAUUGCGAAGGCAGGUUACUACUAAUGGAUUGACGCUGAUGGACGAAAGCGUGGGUAGCGAACAGG